GUGAAAGGGGGAUGUCCACGCUUGUGACCAGGGACAAAAUCAGGGCAAUUAAUAUAGAUACGACCGUCACAACCAACAGCAGCAAGAGAACAAUCUGCUUGGAGUCUACACCCAUCCUGCAUGAGAUAAAGGUCCUCUUGUCGAUGUUUGCUCCGCGCAGAGGUCACCAGCACCGCUAUGAGCGUUUUCCUUCGUCCUGGUGAAGUGAUAAGAAGAAGUGAUCUUUGGUAACGACUAGUGAACCUGAAUGACGACCCCAGGUAAAUGCUGAGAAACACUAAGGUAACUAUUUCCUGACACAUAUCGCAGGUUCAGUGUGGAACAUCACCGGACACUUUACAUACAGAUAUGGAGGGUUUAUUUGCAGAUUCUUUACUUGCACUGAUCCUAGGAUCUGAUCCUGCAUUUACUGCUUGUUCAGUGUCUGCAGAGGAUUUAAAGUGUGUGUGCUGACAAAGGUUUUACUUUCCAGUAACAACCAGGUGAAAUUUGAAUGCAGCCCCGGAGUAUAAUACAGGAUGUAACUCAGGAUCAGUACAGGAUAAGUAAUGUAUGUACACAGUGACUGCACCAGCAGAAUAGUGAGUGCAGCUCUGGAGUAUAAUACAGGAUGUA